GAUGAACGCUGGCGGCGUGCUUAACACAUGCAAGUCGAACGGAAAGGCCCAAGCUUGCUUGGGUACUCGAGUGGCGAACGGGUGAGUAACACGUGGGUGAUCUGCCCUGCACUUCGGGAUAAGCCUGGGAAACUGGGUCUAAUACCGGAUAGGACCACUUCUUGGAUGUUGUGGUGGAAAGUUUUUUCGGUGUGGGAUGAGCUCGCGGCCUAUCAGCUUGUUGGUGGGGUAAUGGCCUACCAAGGCGUCGACGGGUAGCCGGCCUGAGAGGGUGUACGGCCACAUUGGGACUUAGAUACGGCCCAGACUCCUACGGGAGGCAGCAGUGGGGAAUAUUGCACAAUGGGCGCAAGCCUGAUGCAGCGACGCCGCGUGGGGGAUGACGGCCUUCGGGUUGUAAACUCCUUUCGCUAGGGACGAAGCGUUUUGUGACGGUACCUGGAGAAGAAGCACCGGCUAACUACGUG
rnacentral:rRNA from 1 species